rnacentral:rRNA from 1 species
GAGUUUGAUCUUGGCUCAGAUUGAACGCUGGCGGCAUGCCUUACACAUGCAAGUCGAGCGGCAGCGCGGGGGCAACCCUGGCGGCGAGCGGCGAACGGGUGAGUAAUACAUCGGAACGUGUCCAGUAGCGGGGGAUAACCUCUCGAAAGAGAGGCUAAUACCGCAUACGACCUACGGGUGAAAGCGGGGGACCGCAAGGCCUCGCACUAUUGGAGCGGCCGAUGUCGGAUUAGCUAGUUGGCGGGGUAAAAGCCCACCAAGGCGACGAUCCGUAGCUGGUCUGAGAGGACGAUCAGCCACACUGGAACUGAGACACGGUCCAGACUCCUACGGGAGGCAGCAGUGGGGAAUUUUGGACAAUGGGGGCAACCCUGAUCCAGCCAUGCCGCGUGAGUGAAGAAGGCCUUCGGUU